UUCUUGAGUGUGUACUUGUUAAGCCUUUUAAGAAAAAAGUUAUUAACUUAAGGAAUUAUAACAAAGAAGCAACACGUAAAUGGAUUUUCCAUUUUUUAGUGUGUAUCAAUCGAGUUUCUGACCUAUCAGCUUUUGAUGUUAGGGUAUUGGCCUAACAUGGCUAUGACGGGUAACGGGGAAUUAGAGUUCGAUUCCGGAGAGGGAGCCUGAGAAAUAGCUACCACAUCUAAGGAAGGCAGCAGGCGCGUAAAUUACCCAAUUCUAAAGAAGAGAGGUAGUGACAAGAAAUAACAAUACAAGGCCAAUCUGGCUUUGUAAUUGGAAUGAUGGGAAUUUAAAACCUUCCCAAAACUCAAUUGGAGGGCAAGUCUGGUGCCAGCAGCCGCGGUAAUUCCAGCUCCAAUAGCGUAUAUUAAAAUUGUUGCAGUUAAAACGCUCGUAGUUGAAUUUCAAAGAAUCGAUAUUUUAAGUAACGCUUUGUAGAUUAAUCCACAUAACUGAUACUACGUAUCGACUUUGUGCGCAUUUUUCUACUUAUGUGUUCUUUUAAUUAAAAUGAUUCUUUUUAAGAUCUUUCUUUUUUGCUUCGGCAUUUUAGGAGAUCUUGUUACUUUGAGUAAAUUAGAGUGUUCAAAGCAAACAGAUUAUAGCAUCUUUAUGCGUUUGAAUACUACAGCAUGGAAUAACAAAAUUGAACAAGUCAGAAUUUUGUUCUUUUUUCUUAUUUUGGCUUAGUUACGAUUAAUAGGAGUAGCUUGGGGGCAUUUGUAUUCAGAUGUCAGAGGUGAAAUUCUUAGAUUUUCUGGAGACAAACAACUGCGAAGGCAUUUGCCUAAAAUACUUCCAUUAAUCAAGAACGAAAGUUAAGGGAGUGAAGGCGAUCAGAUACCGUCGUAAUCUUAACCAUAAACUAUGCCGACUAGGC
rnacentral:rRNA from 1 species